AGCUCCUUUGCACAGCUGCUGCUGAUCUACACGCCCCUCUUCUCCUGCUGCACACGAGCCGGGGAGGAAAUGAAAAGAAAACUCUGGGAAACAUUAUCCCAGAAUGCUUUCUUCACCUUAUUAUUUCGACACGUCCGGGUAGUAUACCUUUUCUGUUGAUUUUUCGUUUUUAUUGUGUGUGGUCGGGCAAAAUGGAGCGUAAUCUGGAGCAGUCUGGCAAAAUUUUAUAACGUGACCUACUUUCACAUCCUCAUUCUUUCCAUUUUUUUUAUUAGACCGUUGGGCUGGUGAGCCAAUAGAAAGGACAAUUAUUUCGUUUAGACUUAAACCUGUAUCCUGGAGCAUUCUUUUCGCAUGGAUAUGAAAGGCUAGAGGCUUUGCUCCGUGGCUUUGCUGAGGGUCCAUUAAGGCUGAAGGUACAGGCCCACCUGCCACCCCUACAUACCACAUCCCGCCCCUGGGGCCUCAAAACUGGGUGACCUGUCACAGGACCUUGCAUGGUGCCAGUCACAAGCACCUCUGGCUCACUUUUGCCGGAAUUAUGGCCCGGUACCACAAGCCGCUUCGGCCCACCCCGCCACCCAAAGAGCAUCCUUAUCGGAAUUCUCUGGAACCCAGAGCAGCCUGACCAGAAGCGAAUGAUCAUCCAGCCUCCACUGUCUGUGUUCAGACAUCCAAGACCGCAGAAUUGCGGUGUUGGUGCGAGAGAGGGCUGCACGUGGCCAGCAGAGGAAGGGGAAGAGCAUAGAAAUGCAGACAAAGGCAGGAACAGCCACAGAAGCAGGAC